UCUGAUGGGUGAGUGCUCGCUCUUCUGCUGGCCUACUGCCUGCAGCCCUUUCUACUUUAAUCUCCGUGAAUAUGCACAGCAGCGUGAUGAACCUAGGACCUGGGCCCUGGGCCACCUUAUAAGGAAAAGGCUGUGUUUACUCUUUUCUACUUUUUGUUACAUGAAGCUAUUCUGAAAAGUCAUGAAUUACAGCCCAAGAACAAGUUCAGGAGAAGCAUGUAGAUAAAAACCACACCACAAAGGCACCACAACAAAGAAGACUGACUUCACAGCCCAGCAGCUCCUAGACUCUUCUGAUGACACAGCCCCCACAUUGACGUCCAAUGGAGGCUCAGAAUUUUACAAAAUACAAGUCAUUAUUUGUAACUACAGAAUCCUUAUGUUAUAUUUGUGUCCUUGAUAAUUCUUGCCUGGCAUCCUAACAGGAAAGGUACGACCAGAAAGGAAAAAAAAAAAAAAAAAAAAACUUCUGGAAAACUUAAACCACAUAGACUGAGAUGUGAGCAUGCACAGCUGCAUCUCAUGCCUUUGAACUCCCGCCAACGCAACUACAGUCUUAUUCCUACAUCGUCUUGUGUUGACUUUUAGCUCUCGUGCAUGUUUGUCCUGGUUUCGAGGAGUUUUGCUCUACCUGAGAUUUUCAAAUGCUUUUGCUUCCUGGACUCACACAGUCUGCAGUCGAGUUCUGCUCGUGACAGCUGCUAUAGGCUUCACUGCUUGUGCAUCAUGUGAACCGUAUCCACUCUGCAGCUGCUAGAGUAAAAGGGGUUGGUAGAAAUUUGCAGUCUCCCUGCUGCAUACUCCAAGUUCAGAACCAGCUAAAAGAUAAAAGGUUGUAUAGGUGAUGCAGAAGCUGUGAGCUUCAUUGAGCACCAGCCAAAGCUUGUGGGAGGGUGUGGCUUAGAUGGAAUGUCUGAGUUGGCCUCCUCAUACCUCCUUUAGAAUUGGGUAGAUAAAUCAAUGGGUCACUGGUGUAACCAGGCUGGCACACAGAAAAAUACCCUUUUAUAAAAUAAAGGUAUAGAACAGAGUG